rnacentral:rRNA from 1 species
GACGGAAGGUGCAAGCGUUGCUCGGAAUCACUGGGCGUAAAGGGUGCGUAGGCGGCCGUGCAAGUCUGGCGUGAAAGCCCCGGGCUCAGCCCGGGAAGUGCGCUCGAAACUGCGCGGCUCGAGUGCCGGAGGGGAGAGUGGAAUUCCCGGUGUAGUGGUGAAAUGCGUAGAUAUCGGGAGGAACACCAGUGGCGAAGGCGACUACCUGGCCUGUUCUUGACGCUGAGGCGCGAAAGCUAGGGGAGCAAACGGG